rfam:Clostridiales bacterium 44_9 Ley3_66761_scaffold_3868, whole genome shotgun sequence.
UUGUGACGGAUGUUAGAUUUUCUUGAUGUUUUGUAAGAGACCACAGCAAUUUUCGGACAGGAGGUCCGAAAAAGGCGAAGUCGAGCCAUGGAUGGCGAGUCUGAGCCGGUUGCGUCCGUCCCCAACACCCCACCAAAACAUUUAGAAAAUCUUAUAUCCAAAACAC